AGAGUUUGAUCCUGGCUCAGGACGAACGCUGGCGGCGUGCCUAAUACAUGCAAGUCGAGCGGACCUCUUCGGAGGUCAGCGGCGGACGGGUGAGUAACACGUGGGCAACCUGCCUGUAAGACUGGGAUAACUCCGGGAAACCGGAGCUAAUACCGGAUACUAUGUCAAACCGCAUGGUUUGACAUUCAAAGACGGUUUCGGCUGUCACUUACAGAUGGGCCCGCGGCGCAUUAGCUAGUUGGUGAGGUAACGGCUCACCAAGGCAACGAUGCGUAGCCGACCUGAGAGGGUGAUCGGCCACACUGGGACUGAGACACGGCCCAGACUCCUACGGGAGGCAGCAGUAGGGAAUCUUCCGCAAUGGACGAAAGUCUGACGGAGCAACGCCGCGUGAGUGAUGAAGGUUUUCGGAUCGUAAAACUCUGUUGUCAGGGAAGAACAAGUGCCGGAGUAACUGCCGGUGCCUUGACGGUACCUGACCAGAAAGCCACGGCUAACUACGUGCCAGCAGCCGCGGUAAUACGUAGGUGGCAAGCGUUGUCCGGAAUUAUUGGGCGUAAAGCGCGCGCAGGCGGUUUCUUAAGUCUGAUGUGAAAGCCCCCGGCUCAACCGGGGAGGGUCAUUGGAAACUGGGAAACUUGAGUGCAGAAGAGGAGAGUGGAAUUCCCGGUGUAGCGGUGAAAUGCGUAGAGAUGUGGAGGAACACCAGUGGCGAAGGCGACUCUCUGGUCUGUAACUGACGCUGAGGCGCGAAAGCGUGGGGAGCGAACAGGAUUAGAUACCCUGGUAGUCCACGCCGUAAACGAUGAGUGCUAAGUGUUAGAGGGUUUCCGCCCUUUAGUGCUGCAGCUAACGCAUUAAGCACUCCGCCU
rnacentral:rRNA from 1 species